rnacentral:rRNA from 1 species
AACCUUCCCAAAACAGGUGAAUAGCCCUCCGAAAGGAGGAUUAAUACACCGUACCAUAAUGAGGUGGCAUCACUUUGUUAUUAUAGGCCGCAAGGUCGGUUUUGGAUGGGCGUGCGCCUGAUUAGGUAGUUGGCGGGGUAACGGCCCACCAAGCCUCCGAUCAGUAACUGGUGUGAGAGCACGACCAGUCACACGGGCACUGAGACACGGGCCCGACUCCUACGGGAGGCAGCAGUAAGGAAUAUUGGUCAAUGGACGCAAGUCUGAACCAGCCAUGCCGCGUGCAG